GUAAUUUGCAGAGGAUGCUUCGGGUGCAGCCCCCGUCUAAGUGCCCUGGAACGGGCCGUCAUAGAGGGUGAGAAUCCCGUAUGGGGCGGGGUGUCUGCGUCCGUGUGAAGCUCCUUCGACGAGUCGAGUUGUUUGGGAAUGCAGCUCUAAAUGGGUGGUAAAUUUCAUCUAAAGCUAAAUACUGGCCGGAGACCGAUAGCGCACAAGUAGAGUGAUCGAAAGAUGAAAAGCACUUUGAAAAGAGAGUUAAACAGCACGUGAAAUUGUUGAAAGGGAAGCGCUUGCAACCAGACUCGCUCGCGGGGUUCAGCCGGGCUUCGGCCCGGUGUACUUCCCCGCGGGCGGGCCAGCGUCGGUUUGGGCGGCCGGUCAAAGGCCUCCGGAAUGUAGCGCCCUUCGGGGCGCCUUAUAGCCGGGGGUGCAAUGCGGCCAGCCUGGACCGAGGAACG
rnacentral:rRNA from 1 species